UACGUAGGGGGCAAGCGUUGUCCGGAAUUAUUGGGCGUAAAGCGCGCGCAGGCGGUUCUUUAAGUCUGGUGUCUAAGUGCGGGGCUCAACCCCGUGAUGCACUGGAAACUGGGGAACUUGAGUGCAGAAGAGGAGAGCGGAAUUCCGGGUGUAGCGGUGAAAUGCGCAGAUAUCGGGAGGAACACCCGUAGCGAAGGCGGCACUCUGGGCCGGUACUGACGCUGAGGAGCGAAAGCGUGGGGAGCAAACAGG
rnacentral:rRNA from 1 species